ACGCUCGACACCUACGGGAGACAGCAGUUAGGAAUAUUGGGCAAUGGAGGGAACUCUGACCCAGCAACGCCGCGUGAAGGAAGAAGGUUUUCGGAUUGUAAACUUCUGAUCUAAGGGAAGAAGAAAGUGACGGUACCUUAGGAGAAAGCCACGGCUAACUACGUGCCAGCAGCCGCGGUAAUCUGAGCGGGCUGGCAAGGC
rnacentral:rRNA from 1 species